CGUUACAAAGGGGUUUAUCCAGUGGUGGUUUGAAAGCGGCUGCUGGAGGAGUAGUAGUGUGAUGGUGAUUUUCGCGGUGAGGGUGAUUCAGACUUUCAUCUUCGCCUCGUCAAUUGCGUGAAUAUGUUUGGGUAAAUCAGUGAAAAUUUGUGGGCAACUGCUGUGUCGCCGGUGGGGUGGUGGUGUUGGUUCAGCGAUGAGGUCUCCUUUAAAAAUGGGCUCUCGUCGAUUUCAGUUGAACGCACCGAGUGAGGAUAGAACUUCUACUCCAUCACCGUCUCAAAGAGAGUGAGGAGAGAGGAAGAGAGAGG
rnacentral:lncRNA from 1 species